AAUGAAUUGCCUGAUUAAAGGAUUACCUUGAUAGGGUAAAUUAAAUAGCACUAUACUAUAUUCAUUA
rnacentral:tRNA from 1 species